AACGCACCUUGCGCUCCUUGGUAUUCCGAGGAGCAUGCCUGUUUGAGUGUCAUGAAAUUCUCAACUGCCCCAGGCUUUGUGGCCUGCGGGUGAAGUUGGACUUGGAGGUGUGCUGGCGCAUGAAUGGGCUUUGUGUCCUGCCGUGCUUGUCGGCUCCUCUCGAAUGCAUGAGCUUUCCAAUCCUUGGCAAAGUAUCAUCGAUGUGAUAAUUAUCUACGUCGUCUGAGAAAGCCGAAAAGGGGAAAUCUUUGAUCACGCCGGGGUGACCCGUGUCUGACACAUUCGACCUCAAAUCAGGUAGGACUACCCGCUGAACUUAA
rnacentral:misc_RNA from 1 species